AUACGACUUUCGGCAAGGGAAAUUUAGGCUCUCGCAUCGAUGAAGAAGGUAGCAAAAUGCGAUACUGGGUGUGAAUUGCAGAAUCCCGUGAAUCAUGGAGUUUUUGAACCCAAGUUGCCCCGGAACCCUU
rnacentral:rRNA from 1 species